rnacentral:lncRNA from 1 species
CUUUCUUCUGAAUAUGAGAUGCUGUAUGCUUCCAUCCACCUGCAGCACUGUGCCGCAGGUUACCAUCUGUUUAUGACAACACAAAUCCAAUAUGUCAUAAACAUGUUCUGGCCUUUACAGUUUUCCCAGCCUGAGGUUGCAGUCUUCAUCUUGGGAUAA